rnacentral:rRNA from 1 species
UACGGGGGGGGGCAAGCGUUGUUCGGAAUUACUGGGCGUAAAGGGCUCGUAGGCGGCCAACUAAGUCAGACGUGAAAUCCCCUCGGCUUAACCGGGGGAACUGCAUCUGAUACUGGAUGGCUUGAGUUCGGGAGAGGGAUGCGGAAUUCCAGGUGUAGCGGUGAAAUGCGUAGAUAUCUGGAGGAACACCGGUGGCGAAGGCGGCAUCCUGGACCGGCACUGACGCUGAGGAGCGAAAGCCAGGGGGAGCAAACGGG